GGGUACCAUUAACACCGGACAAAUUCUAUGAUGAUGAUGAAAGAAUUGAUGACUAUGAAGAAUUUAUUAAAAAUAUUAUUGAGAACAAAUGCAAACCUGAAGAAUGUGAUGUAGCAUGUCACAGCUUCAAACAAUUUUCCGGAAAAUGUGAUGAAGAAAAAUGCUUAUGUGAAAUUUCACGAGAUUCCAAAAUAUACCGUUCAUACGAAGAGGUUGUGAAGGAAGUAUUCCGAAUCGAGGAAGAAAUUUAUCCAACUUUGGAUCAAUGUUCUUUACAUUGUAAUAGGAAAUGUUUAGAGAUCGAUUAUAGGGC